GUCACGACGGAGAUGGAGAGCUCUCAGAUCCGGCCGGUCAUGCUCGCCGUAACCCUAACCCUAGCCCUAGCCCUCUUCUUCAUCGCUGCCGUCGCCGAUGAGGAAGUCGUCGUCCUCACCGAGGCUAACUUCGAGACGGAGGUCGGCAAGGAUCGCGGUGCCCUCGUCGAAUUCUACGCCCCCUGGUGUGGGCACUGCAAGAAGCUCGCCCCUGAGUACGAGAAGCUAGGGUCAAGCUUCAAAAAAGCUAAGAACGUCUUGAUCGGAAAGGUUGACUGUGACGAGCACAAGGAUGUAUGCAGCAAAUUCGGUGUUUCAGGGUACCCGACUAUCCAGUGGUUUCCUGCAGGUUCUUUGGAGCCGAAAAAGUACGAAGGUCAGCGUACUGCAGAAGCCCUUGCAGAAUUUGUGAAUGCCGAAGGAGGAACUAAUGUUAAACUGGCAGCUAUUCCAUCCAGCGUAGUAGUAUUGACAUCCGAGAACUUUGAUCAAAUCGUCCUAGAUGAAACCAAAGACGUCAUUGUAGAAUUCUAUGCGCCAUGGUGUGGCCAUUGCAAAAACCUUGCCCCUGUUUAUGAGAAGGUAGCUGCUGCUUUCAGGCUGGAUGAGAAUGUUGUAAUCGCUAACCUUGAUGCAGACAAAUACAAGGAUUUGGGUGAGAAAUACGGAGUUACUGGCUUCCCUACAUUGAAGUUUUUCCCCAAGGGCAACAAAGCCGGUGAAGACUAUGAUGGAGGACGUGAUUUAGAUGACUUCGUUAAAUUCAUCAACGAGAAAUGUGGCACCAGCCGUGAUAACAAAGGACAACUUACAUCUCAGGCUGGUAUAGUCGAAAGUCUAGAGGCCUUGGUGAAAGAAUUUGUGAGUGCCGCCAAUGAAGAGAAGAAGGCAGUUCUAGCACGGUUGGAAGAGGAGGUUGAGAAGCUCCAGGAUUCUUCUGCAAGGCAUGGCAGGGUCUACUUGAAGAUUGCAAAGAGCUGCAUCGAGAAGGGUUCUGAAUAUACCAAGAAGGAAACUGAAAGGCUGCAGCGCAUGUUGGAGAAGGCUAUCAGCCCUUCCAAGGCGGAUGAGUUCACCAUCAAGAAGAACAUCCUAUCAACCUUCUCUGCCUAAGAUUAUGUAGUUUUACCUGUGAAAUUUUGGGGAACAGUGAUUCUGAGGUUAAUUUAGUACUGAUUAAAGUUAUAUUGGCAGGAGUG
rnacentral:misc_RNA from 1 species